rnacentral:rRNA from 1 species
UGGGGAAUAUUGCACAAUGGGGGAAACCCUGAUGCAGCGACGCCGCGUGAGUGAAGAAGUAUUUCGGUAUGUAAAGCUCUAUCAGCAGGGAAGAUAAUGACAGUACCUGACUAAGAAGCUCCGGCUAAAUACGUGCCAGCAGCCGCGGUAAUACGUAUGGAGCAAGCGUUAUCCGGAUUUACUGGGUGUAAAGGGAGCGUAGACGGCAUGGCAAGUCAGAUGUGAAAGCCCGGGGCUCAACCCCGGAACUGCAUUUGAAACUGUCAGGCUAGAGUACAGGAGAGGUAAGUGGAAUUCCUAGUGUAGCGGUGAAAUGCGUAGAUAUUAGGAGGAACACCAGUGGCGAAGGCGGCUUACUGGACUGUAACUGACGUUGAGCUCG